CCAAACUUGGUCAUUUAGAGGAAGUAAAAGUCGUAACAAGGUAUCCGUAGGUAUGUAGCUGGCGCAUUCCCCCUUACCGUCUCUGUGGCAUCUUGCUAACGUGAAAUUAUAGGUGAACCUGCGGAAGGAUCAUUAAUAGUUUCGGGUACCCUGUGCCCAAACUUCAACCCCAUGAUUUACCACUUUGUUUCUUUGCCGGGUCGCACCGGCAAAAGAUUUCUCCAAAACCCUGGCCAAAACUUGAAAUCAGAAGAAUUUGAUCAAAUCAAACGCAAAACUUUCAACAACGGAUCUCUUGGUUCUGGCAUCGAUGAAGAACGCAGC
rnacentral:misc_RNA from 1 species